GUAGUAGUUGUACUUGUUAGAGCAGCUGGGAGGUCACCUGUCACGUGAUAUGUACAGCCCUUCUAUCAUAUGUUUGUUGUUUAUUCCUCCUGUUGGAAUGUGUUUGGAUCUAGGUGGAAUAAUUCUCGAUGAUAACUCACUCCCAGCAACAUUUCUUUCACAUAUCUAUAAACAACACAUCUAAACACUUAUACGCAAUAUAUAAACAAUACACGCAAAUUAUAAAUAUACAUUAAACGUUAACAGUAUAUUUUGCAGGUUUAAGACACCACUGUAUCUCUACUCUUGCUUAUUAUAAUCGUCUUUCUUGGGAUAGAAUUAAAACCGAUUUUUUUUUUACUCUCCUUAAACAAUAUGUGGCACAAAAUACAGGCUGUUUGCUUCGUCCGCCGGCAAAUGGGAGGGGUCUGGGCACACGUGUCUCCGAAAACUGAAGUCAGUUGCACCACAAGCUAUGUAAACAAUUCGCAAAUAAGAUUUUUUUUUGAUAUAACAAAGUAUUGAUCAAGUAACAGGAACGAUGUAAUAGACAAAAUAUCUCUCCUCAAAAAAUUGCUGGCUUUGUUCUUAAAUUAGAAACAGUCAUGAGACUUGCAGCUAUAAAGGAAAGUAGACA